rnacentral:miRNA from 1 species
CAGUGCCACGUAAGACCCGCGUUC